rnacentral:rRNA from 1 species
GGGUUGUAAACUUCUUUUAUAUUAGAAUAAAGUGCAGUAUGUAUACUGUUUUGUAUGUAUAAUAUGAAUAAGGAUCGGCUAACUCCGUGCCAGCAGCCGCGGUAAUACGGAGGAUCCGAGCGUUAUCCGGAUUUAUUGGGUUUAAAGGGAGCGUAGGUGGGCUGGUAAGUCAGUUGUGAAAGUUUGCGGCUCAACCGUAAAAUUGCAGUUGAUACUGUCAGCCUUGAGUACAGUAGAGGUGGGCGGAAUUCGUGGUGUAGCGGUGAAAUGCUUAGAUAUCACGAAGAACUCCGAUUGCGAAGGCAGCUCACUGGACUGCAACUGACACUGAUGCUCGAAAGUGUGGGUAUCAAACAGGAUUAGAUACCCUGGUAGUCCACACAGUAAA